GACUUCUGGUUUAAUGCACCUGGCCCGCGGCCCACAAGGCCUGUGAGUGCCGGCGCGCGUUUACCAUCCUUCCAGCUGGAUCUUUUACUUUGAAAAAAUUAAUCUAGGACUUCGGUUCUAUUUUGGUUUCUAGAACUGAAGUAAUGAUUGAUAGGGAUAGUUGGGGGUGCUAGUAUUGGCCGGUCAGAGGUGAAAUUCUUGGAUUCGGUCAAGACUAACUUAUGCGAAAGCAUUCACCAAGGAUGUCUUCUU
rnacentral:rRNA from 1 species